UACGGGGGGGGCAAGCGUUGUUCGGAAUUACUGGGCGUAAAGGGCUCGUAGGUGGCCAACUAAGUCAGACGUGAAAUCCCUCGGCUUAACCGGGGAACUGCGUCCGAUACUGGUGGGCUUGAAUCCGGGAGAGGGAUGUGGAAUUCCAGGUGUAGCGGUGAAAUGCGUAGAUAUCUGGAGGAACACCGGUGGCGAAGGCGGCAUCCUGGACCGGGUAUUGACGCUGAUGCGCGAAAGCCAGGGGAGCAAACGGG
rnacentral:rRNA from 1 species